GUUUUAAUAAUUUAAUUAAAAUACUGGUCUUGUAAAUCAGAAAUAAAAUGGAUA
rnacentral:tRNA from 1 species